rnacentral:rRNA from 1 species
AACGAACGCUGGCGGCAUGCCUAACACAUGCAAGUCGAACGAAGGCUUCGGCCUUAGUGGCGCACGGGUGCGUAACGCGUGGGAAUCUGCCCUUGGGUCUGGGAUAACAGUUGGAAACGACUGCUAAUACCGGAUGAUAUCGCGAGAUCAAAGAUUUAUCGCCCGAGGAUGAGCCCGCGUUGGAUUAGCUAGUUGGUGGGGUAAAGGCCUACCAAGGCGACGAUCCAUAGCUGGUCUGAGAGGAUGAUCAGCCACACUGGGACUGAGACACGGCCCAGAC